GACAGAGGGUGCAAACGUUGUUCGGAAUUACUGGGCGUAAAGCGUGCGCAGGCGGUUAUGUAAGGCAGAUGUGAAAUCCCCGGGCUCAACCUGGGAACUGCAUUUGUGACUGCAUAGCUAGAGUACGGUAGAGGGGGAUGGAAUUCCGCGUGUAGCAGUGAAAUGCGUAGAUAUGCGGAGGAACACCGAUGGCGAAGGCAAUCCCCUGGACCUGUACUGACGCUCAUGCACGAAAGCGUGGGGAGCAAACAGG
rnacentral:rRNA from 1 species